rnacentral:lncRNA from 1 species
GAGGAAAAUGAAAGCGGUCGUGGCCAGGACUGGCGCAGCUGCCGUUUCAGGCGAGGGGCGCAGAAUGCAGCGGCCGCCAGCCUGGAGCGCGGGCCCUGGGGCCGCAACCCGCGCCGGGCGAGGUGGCAGCACACCCUGGGCCCCCCACUCCCCGCCGCAAGUCCUGAGGAUGGCCAGCAGAGAAACAAGAAAAUGGACUCCCUGGCUGCUGGAGAGUUGAAUGCCAGCCACCAGCCAUGGGUGCCAGAGUUUGUAGCCUAUUGGAGGAAAACACACCAAGGAAGCCCUUCACAGGACCCAGACAGUCAAGCAGGCAGGCCAGGCCCCAGGAGCACCAACCUUCAGAGGUGGAGGGCAUGGGUGACACCUGGAAGUUGUACAGAUCACUGGUGCUGUCCGGCACAACUUCCACUGGGAUGUGCCAGUCGGGGAGAGUGCUGCUGACAGCACAUGGCGACAGUGCUGGGGAACAGCAGAAGCCACAGGUCAAGGUUGUGUGCUUUCUUAGUUUGCAAGACAUCGAGCGCCCUCCGACCAACCCUGCAGCCUGCACUAAUGGGCCACCAUGUGCCAGCACCAUGCCUCCAAGAGAAAGAGUCAUCCCACUGACCUGUGGGGUCUCCUGCCAGACCUGGACCAGCUCACCUGGAGUCAGGGCCUGCUCCACCUCCAAGUCCUGCAUGUAGCCUGGAACUGUGUAGCUGCUGUGGUCAUCAGGCAGAGUGGAGCUGCUGAGUCCAUCAGAGAAGGUAUCAGGGCUGGAAUCCCCACAUGACUGUCGAGGGAGAAAGCAGCUUAGGCCCAGGCCCACCUUAGCAUUUCUUCCACUGCUCACCCUGGCCCACAGGUGACCAAAGGCCUGGCUGCUUAGGACCACACUCACCUUCCUCUUGGCCUUGCUCUUAGCAUCUCGGCUGGACUUCGACUUUCUUUCUGUGGGGCAGACGGGCUGUCAGCCUUGGUGCAGGCUCUCCAGCCCCAGCUGACCUCCUUCUACCCUCCCUCCCUGAGGGCUUCCCAAGGACCCAGAGUCCUUGGAUACCUUUUCUCUGGUUCUUGGUGAGAGGUGGAAGCAUCCGGUACACUCGCACAGCUGAGCUGCCCUUGUUCCUGCUCUGGUCUUUCACCUCCUCGAUAUCUGGCAGGGAGUUCAUGGCACAGCGAAAGUUGGCCUUCCACGUCUUGGGAUCUGGCUCCUUUUCCCCUGCUUUGUAUCGGCCUAGAGGGCAGGAGAAAAAAGAGGAUCGUCAGGGCCAUGGGUAGGGAUCCUCAGCUGCCCCUGGCCUGAAGGAGGAAGGCAAGGUACCCCUGACCUCUUAUGCUACCAGAGAGCCACAGUGGUCAAACCAGCAGGUACUCCCGGUGACACUCUGCAGGUCCUAGGCCCUGGGCCUUCUCAAAUGCCCAGGCUUGGCUUAAACACAUCUAGCGGGCCUCAGUGAAGGGCCCAGCCAGAAGCACUAGAGUCCCCAUAUCCCCAAAGUGUACUAUCUGUGUCUCAGACUAUGCCCAGUCUUCCUCCUUGGGCUAUCAGCAGCCAGAGGGUAGAGUGGGCACAGACUGGGCAGCAGAGAACAGUUACUAAAUGGGUGGGCUGACUGUUCUGAGAUGGGCCUAGAGCUCCAUCUCUCAAGGAUAAAGGAGGCCACCAACCACAUGAGGCUUGGACCAAGGGCCUUGGUCAACACGAAGAAAAAGGCAGACCUGGGUCUCUUUCAGUGCCCUGGCUUACAGCUGCUUUUCACAGAUGCUUUUGCCAGGGAGAACUUUCAUCUAGCCACAAACCCCCUGAAGCCACACACUUUCUAAGAUCUUGGCUUUUCCCUUUGAGAAUUUGCUGAGAUGAUCGACUCUCUUCUCCAGAAACACAAGUCUGCCACCAGCCCCUCUUCCCAGUAAUUCUGCAUGUUGUCUCAGGGAGCUCAGGGACCCCAGUGAAGAGCCUCUGUGUUAACGUGAGUGCCUCCUCUUGUCUCUACCCUGGGCUUCCUAGGCCUGAGUCCCAGGCACACACCUGUGUGAAUGGCCCAGCUCCGGAACAAACAGGCAUCCUUGUUGAUGUCCCAGCCAUGCUUGGCAGCAUGCUUCCAUGGGAUCUGGAAGAUCAUCUCCUCCUGAACAAUACACACAUACACAUAAGGCUGUGUCAGGUCAGAGACCACAGACUUUGGGGCUGAGUCUGAGACCCAGGCCUGCCCAGCCAGACAGGUCUGAGAAAAGGCUGACUUCCCCUUUUUUCCCCUGACAUCUGGCUUGGACACCCAUCUUGAGGCUGGCUUAAACAGACCACUCUGGAUCUCUCAGGAGGGACACCUAGUUUGGAUGAGCUGCAGCAUUAUUAGCUCACAAAGACCUCCCUCUGCCUGUUACACAUGUGCUAGGACCCACACAGGGCACCCUCCCCCAAAGCCCUGGUUUUGAAGCUCUGGGAUGUUUCUCUCUGGCUUGUAAGCACCCACAUGGAAGUAAGAACUUCUUCCAUUAGAAAGGACUCCUCAGGACACCUGGGAGCAUGGGCUCUUACACAGGGGGUCCUGGUCAUACCACUGAGGGAGCUCUGGGCUAGACUUGGAUGGUGAACACUGUGUAACCCUGGCAUUGUCACUGUAUCUCUUUGCCCCUCAGUUUUCUCUUCUCGGAAAUGAGAAAACAUAUCCAACAAAAUUUUGAGGAUUAAAAACCAGAGGAUGUGUAGGGACACAGUGACAAAUAUGAAGUCUAAGGUCUUACUGUUAUUAUAUCACUUAUGGUUAACAGUAAAGAUUUCUGAGUCAGACCGUUCAAGUUCAAA